rnacentral:rRNA from 1 species
GAUGAACGCUGGCGGCAUGCCUUACACAUGCAAGUCGAACGGUAACAGGUCUUCGGAUGCUGACGAGUGGCGAACGGGUGAGUAAUACAUCGGAACGUGCCCGAGAGUGGGGGAUAACGGAGCGAAAGCUUUGCUAAUACCGCAUACGAUCUCAGGAUGAAAGCAGGGGACCGCAAGGCCUUGCGCUCACGGAGCGGCCGAUGGCAGAUUAGGUAGUUGGUGGGAUAAAAGCUUACCAAGCCGACGAUCUGUAGCUGGUCUGAGAGGACGACCAGCCACACUGGGACUGAGACACGGCCCAGACUCCUACGGGAGGCAGCAGUGGGGAAUUUUGGACAAUGGGCGCAAGCCUGAUCCAGCCAUGCCGCGUGCAGGAUGAAGGCCUUCGGUUGUAAACUGCUUUGUUACGGAACGAAAAGACUACCUUCUAAUAAAGGGGUCCAGUGACGGUACCGUAAGAAUAAGACACCGGCUAACUACGUGCCAGCAGCC